ensembl:lncRNA
UGGUGAUCAUGUCUUUAAGGUACAGUGAUCAUGUCUUUAAGGUACGGUGAUCAUGUCUUUAAGGUACGGUGAUCAUGUCUUUAAGGUACGGUGAUCAUGUCUUUAAGGUACGGUGAUCAUGUCUUUAAGGUACGGUGAUCAUGUCUUUAAGGUACGGUGAUCAUGUCUUUAAGGUACGGUGAUCAUGUCUUUAAGGUACGGUGAUCAUGUCUUUAAGGUACGGUGAUCAUGUCUUUAAGGUACGGUGAUCAUGUCUUUAAGGUACGGUGAUCAUGUCUUUAAGGUACGGUGAUCAUGUCUUUAAGGUACGGUGAUCAUGUCUUUAUCAGGUACGGUGAUCAUGUCUUUAAGGUACGGUGAU